GUGAGGCGGGGCUUGCGGCGAGGGGUGGGACCGCAGGGCCGGAGUAAAAGGGUCUCCUGGCCUCAGUGAUGGAAUUAAGAUGACUUCUAUCUCUGAAUCCAAGGGUGACUGAAAGCCGCAAGCUGCAGAAAGGACAAGAGGCAUCACCUAUGUGGAUAAAGACAGCAUCCUGAGUUGAUGGAGAAAUGGCAUAGAAGGAACCAGGUCCUUUGAUGACAUCAUGGAGCAAAGCUGUCUUCUUGCCUUGACCUGCUACCUACCUACAUGGGAAGCUGUUACUUGAGAAGGCAAUAAAAUCUAUCUUCUUUAUUGACAGAGUUGACAAUACCUUUUUUAUCUUAUUGUAGCAGUCACUUAUCCUCAAAUGACUGCUAUAUCCUAUUUUCCUAUUAUAUGGGGCUAUAUGCGUCCUUGUUCAUAUUUAGCAGAGAAGCA
rnacentral:lncRNA from 1 species